CCUACGGGCGGCAGCAGUAAGGAAUCUUCCGCAAUGGGCGAAAGCCUGACGGAGCAACGCCGCGUGGGCGAUGAAGGCCUUCGGGUCGUAAAGCCCUUUUCUGUGGGACGAUAAUGACGGUACCACAGGAAUAAGCCACGGCUAACUACGUGCCAGCAGCCGCGGUAAUACGUAGGUGGCUAGCGUUAUCCGGAUUCACUGGGCGUAAAGAGCGCGUAGGCGGUGUGCUAAGUUGGACGUGAAAGCCCCCGGCUUAACCGGGGGAGGUCGUCCAAUACUGGUGCACUUGAGGGUGGACGGGGAAAGCGGAAUUCCCGGUGUAGUGGUAAAAUGCGUAGAUAUUGGGAGGAACACCGUUGGCGAGGGCGGCUCUCUGGACUAAUACUGACGCUGAGGCGCGAAAGCGUGGGGAGCAAACAGGAUUAGAUACCC
rnacentral:rRNA from 1 species